rnacentral:rRNA from 1 species
CCCUUAGAUGUUCUGGGCCGCACGCGUGCUACACUGAUGCAUUCAACGAGUCUAAAACCUGGUCUGAUAGGGCUGGGUAAUCUUUUGAAAGUGCAUCGUGAUUGGGAUAGAUGAUUGCAAUUCUUCAUCUUCAACGAGGAAUGCCUAGUAAACGCAAGUCAUCAGCUUGCAUUGAUUACGUCCCUGCCCUUUGUACACACCGCCCGUCGCUCCUACCGAUUGAAUGAUCCGAUGAAUACCAUGGAUUGAGAGUCUGAGUGGGUUCGCCUACCUCAACUUUCGAGAAGCGGUUUAAAUCUUAUCGUUUAGAGGAAGGAGAAGUCGUAACA